rnacentral:rRNA from 1 species
CCAGCAGCCGCGGUAAUUCCAGCUCCAAUAGCGUAUAUUAAAGUUGUUGCAGUUGAAACGCUCGUAGUUGGAUGUUUUGUGCCCGCCGAGGCCCUGUUCAAGGAGCCACCGUGCUCUUGGGGUCAUACUGGCGUGGCGCAGCACUUCUCUCGAUUGCUUUGUGCGUGCCAUUUGUUUGGUGCGUGCUGGGCGCGGGGCGAUUACUUUGAAAAAAUUAGAGUGUUCAAAGCAGGCAGUUUUUUGCUUGAAUAGAUUAGCAUGGAAUAAUGGAAUAGGACUUUGGUUUCUAUUUUGUUGGUUUUGGGGCCGAAGUAAUGAUUAAUAGGGAUAGUUGGGGGCAUUAG